rnacentral:lncRNA from 1 species
GUGAGCGGAAAUUUCAACCAGAUGGCAGAGGAAGGAAGGAGAUGUUGUUCCCACUCUUUAGGAGAGAUGAUGAGCGACUGCUCCCGCUCUUCUUGAUCUGUCUCAUCUGCAAAAUGGUUCUACGUGACUUUUCACUUUGUGCUUGGAAGCAUGUCGGAGCUACCAUACAUCUGAAUUUUGGCUUGAUAUGGUUAUUCUAUUCAUUUGUAGAGAGUAUGCUGUAAUUAUUCUUUGCCCCAGGGGUUUGUUUGUACCGAAUCACUGAAGCUGAAUUGCCCUUCCUUAUGCGUAUUUUCUUUGCAGAUAUAAUUUGCUCACUUGAUUUAUUAGUGUGUUUAUGCUACUUACGUUUGAUCUUGAUUAUAUAAAAAGGAAAAAAAAAGUGCUCAUUGUUGCCCUGAGUUGUAGAUAAUGCCUGGAAUCCAUUAACCAGCUUAAAUUAAAGUGCUGGGUCUAGUAAAUAGGAAGAAGAGGUGGUGUAGAUUGAAGUGCUCUAAGAAAACACCUUUUGCUUGGGAUUUAAUAUGCACAAGGAUGUACACAAGUAUUCCCAUGUAGUUUGGCUAACUAUUCUAAGUUUGGAUGCUUUUGACUGUGUGCCCUAACUCUUGGCUAGGAUUGAAUAGGAUAGAAGAAGCAAAUUAUACUUCAACUGUUACACUGGGAAAUCCUUAGGGAGCACUGAACUUGUUUAAACUGAUCAGCACAAACUUCUUUGAGGCUGUGAUUUCACCUGCUUGUGUCAGCUGGAAGAGGCCUUGGUGCUUGCAGGUGCCUCUGCUGCAGAUGUGGCUGGUGAGAACUUAGCACCUAGCAAACAGCACUUCCUUGUGGCUGAGUUAAUUUUCGGUUAAUGAUAUGGAAGAGGUCUGAAGACCUACAGUGGUGAUGAGAAGUGAGCAACAAGUAGGGGGUGAGGAAGAAAAGCAGGAGUUCUGUGGGUGGGAGCUAAUCCUCUUGUACUGGCAGCAGCAAGCUAUUGGCUGGCUUGGUGUCACUGUAUCUCGAGUCAAUCUGGAUGGGUGAGCAGGUGUCGGCACCUGGUCAGAGCUGGCUGUGCUUUCUUACUUCAAGAUCUGGGACUGUGGAAGGAUUCCCUGGGGAAGCAGGCUUGGAGUGCUGAAUGGCAGUCCUGGGAGUUGAAUUUGCCUCUGAUGGAACCCUGCUGAAAUCCAGAAUUGCAUUCUACCUGACUCCUUCAUGAAGUAAUGCUGCCUUACACAG